GCAAUCGAAGAACUCAUACCUUUCUCGGCCUUUUGGCUAAGAUCAAGUGUAGUAUCUGUUCUUAUCAGUUUAAUAUCUGAUACGUGGGCCAAUGGCCCACAACGAUAUUAAAUUUAUUUUUUAAGGGGGAAGAUCCAUUACAGUAGCUUGCUACUGGGUUCUUCAAGCGUCGCCCAAGCGUUGCACUAUUGCAUGGGCCUGGCGCACCCCUCCAAAUUGAAGUCAAUAAUUAACGUUUUAAUGUUUAUUUUUCUAAAUUACACACUGUUUUGAGUUAGAAAAAUAUUACUUUGAAGCUGGUGUGUUAAUACUUAUAUUAUUGUAGAUAGAAACUCAAUAUUUGAUUGAAGAUUGUAACAUUUAAAAACGAAGUUAUGUAAUAAACACAGUUAGAUGAGGUUUUAAUCUUAAUGACACCAUUAUUCCAAUAUUAAACCUUAGGAAAUAAAAGUUCUAUGUAAGUGUUUUCUUUGAGUAGUUAGUCUUCUUUCUCUGUUCUUGGGCUUUGCCUUCUCAUGCACCCAAAAAGAAAAAGAAGACUAUUAGUUGAUUACAGAAAAUUGCUGCUAAGAAAAAGAAAAGAACAUACUACACUAUGUAGGAAAAAUUAUUCAUUAGAACACCAUAAAUUAAGGACAAUGAUUACAUGAGUAUCAGACUUUAUAUUGAUGAUGGCUUGAAGGAGUGAAGGGUAUGAGACUUGCUGCAUAGUUCUUCCCUAUUUGAGAAUUUUCAUUCUGAAUUCGUCUUUUUUCUUACAAUAUUUAUAUUGAUGCUGGUUAUUCUUCCAGAUAGGGAAACCCAAUACUUGAAUUCUUUCCUCUUAUUAUAUUUUGAAUGAAAAAUUAACAAAAUGAUUGCAGAUCCUAAAAUUAGAAAAUGAAGUUUUGUACUUGAUUGACACUGUUAGAUGAAGUUUUGUAUCUUGAUGAGUGCUUUUUCACAAAUUUUCUGUAAAAAAUAGUUACUUAUGUCUUUUGGUUUUCAAAUAGUCUGUCCAUCGUGUCUUUACAUGAAUCUUAAAUACACAAAUGUAAUCUUAGAUGGAAAACACUAUAUAGGAAAAUUAUCUAUUGAAACACAACAAAUAAAGGACAAUAAUUAGAUGAGAAAAUCAGACUUUAUAUAGCUUAAGGAAAAGUCUGAAGGAGAAGAAUAUAGACUCUCAAAGUCCCACAUUGGCAUUUGAUGUUUGAGGAAGAGAGGAUGAUGGCAAUAAAAUAAGCUGUAGACCAACCUAACAACAUACUUACCUGGACGGGGUCUAUGGGUGAUCAAAAAGGCCCAUUGCCUAGGGUGUUGGCCUCCAUUGCACUUUGGAGGAGCAACGCUCUAAGAUCUCCCCAAGUGGGAGAGUCUACGUCAUAAUUUCUUUCUGAGGGGGCCUGCGUUCGCGCGGCCCCUAUCCAAUUCAGUCUAACUUCUUAAUUUUCUAUAUUAUUCUAUUAUUAAAACGCAUCUGAUUGUGGUUUUUUACGUUAUAUGUUUGAACUUGUGUUGUCAAGAUAUACAUAUUUUAAACUUAUGGAUAUCUAAAAUAAAUCAAACAGACUUUUAGCUUAUAUCAAUGUAUAUUUUCUUAUUAACUGUUUGAAGUAUACUGCUACAUUAGUUCAUUUGAUAAUUGUAUGCUCUUGCUUAAGUUUGCAUCUGUGUGAAAGAGGUUUGCAUUGAUUAAAGUUUAGACUAGGGGAGUAUUGGUGAGAUAAUAUCUGACAUUUGCCAAAUGCCUUUUCCUUCUCUGUAUCAAUUUGCACUUUCGAGAAGUUUUUUUUAUUAGUUCAUUUUAAUUAUAUAAAAGAAGUUAAAGCUAAAAACCUGAGGUGCUUAAGGAAUUACCUUCCAUACAAGUUCAACUAUGACUGACUUCUGAUUAAGUUGUCUUAAAAUUUGACCAUUAUAUCUUGUCAGGUUUGCUGAAUUCAUCUGUAUAAUUGAUGUUUUCAUUGUUUAGAGUUUAGACUAGGGAGUAUUGGUGAGAUAACCUUUUGGUUUUGCUUCUCUAUAUCAAAGUUGUUUUGUUUCUAUGUAUCAAAGUUGAACUUUCGAGAAGUUAUUUUAUUAGCUUAACAAGGAAUUGAACACUGAAGUUUUUACUAGAGGGAUCAGGUGCUAGCAACAAAUCACAUAGAAUUCAGGCUCUCGAGGACCGAGUGAGUGACAAUGCUUGAGAAGGAAUGCAGUAUGAAAAAUGUAAUGAAGCAAUCUGCUGGUGACUACAAAACAUCAGCUACCAUGCAGGCUCCAGAGCACAAACGCUUGAGAAAGAGAGGGAUCAGGUGCUAGCAACAAAUCACAAAGAAUUCAAGCUUUUGAGGACCGAGUGGCAAUGCCGAGAAGGAAUUGAGCAAAUAUGAAAAAUGUAAUGAAGCAAUCCUUUGUUUGGAUAACACAUGGAGAAGGCGUAUGAGAUAGGAAAUCGAAAGCUUUAUUCUCAUCCUUUAGUGAACCAAAUCCUUUCAUUGUUGGAAAGAUCUGCGAGGUUAUUAUAUGUUAGAAUCUUUAUAAUCUCUUCAGUUUACCUUGAUAUUAUUAUAAAUAUUAUGCAUAUUUAGAUGUUUAUACUUGGUAGGUUAGACUUGUAAGUGGCUAAAAUAUCUCCUUUACCUUAUUUUUUCUAGGCUUGUUGUAUAUAGAGUCUAUGUUUUAGUGUUAAUUUGAUAUACAAUACAUACACAAUUCUCUCCCGCUCUAUCUGUAGUGUCUCGAAAAUUUAUGCUAAGCAACCUUUGCCGAGCUGUAUUUGCAUCCUCUAUAGAUCUUUCCUGAAUAAAAUCCUUUGCCUCUGCAAAGGUAUCCUGAAAUCUGAUUUUCCCUAUUCCAUUUGGCAACAAAAAUGGCUGUUUCACAAGUAGAUACAAUAUAUAAUUUGAUAAUAGUUUGCUCACAUGACAUACAACAUAGGCAACUGACUGAGGUUCCAAGUUUUCAUCUCUGUGAUAACAUAAAUCAGUGGCAAUAUGCCAAAGAAGAAUGCUUUGAUCAAAUUCCUUCUCAGCACUCCAGUUAAGAUCUUGUGAUUGAUACCUGUCCAAUACCCAUGAACCACUGGAAGUACAAAAUGUUCCAUCUUCCUUCGAGAAUGAUGUAUGCUCAAGAAGUUGUUUGAAUAUGUACUUCUUCAGCAGGACUGGAACUUGUUCGGUUGGCUCUGCUUCCGUCUUCAAUUUGAAUUUAUGAUAGAUAUAGCAGGGCAACAAUAUGCAUGAUUUAGUUGACUCCGCUUCAAAACCAGAGCUGAUCAGAUUGUACUGCAUCAUCUGGUUAGACUACUUACUCUCACUACCGAAAAGUUUCAGGAAUGAGACGGCCUUAUAGAUUUGCAUAACUGGAAUCUUCUCAUGAUGGUCCAACCAUAUCAAGGCCCAUUCCGAGCAAAGCCACACAAUCAUACCAAGAAUCUUAAGAGAAACGGCUCCAACCAGCAAAAUGUAAGUUAUGAUCCCAUCAACUUGAGAAUACUGGUGCUUUUGUGAGAAGAAGUAGGCUACUAAUGUGGCAAAAGUGGAUAAGAGAGUGAGAGAUCGCAAUAUGCGACCCCAUCUAGUGUAGUGUAUGGCAGAUUUUGUGUAAAAUGAAUCAAAGACAAAAGCAAGCUCCAUUUCAAUGACACUAAAAGCCUUUUUUCCAAUCACCAUGUAGGAAAAAUGAUUUGCUCAUCUCAAGUUCCUGAAAGCCAAGGACGACGUCAGCAAAGAGGCACUUGUAUAUCUGGAAGUACUCAUAAGCUCUUCUGGGAGUAGAAGCUGCUUCAAUAUGGCAGUCUUUAGCACCAUCAGCCACUAAGCUACGGAUUACCACCUUGGGAUCUUGACAACUUAAAGAGUACACCAUCUUGACAUUAUAUCAAACCGACUUGGUAAGGAUUACUACAUUUUUCCAAUAAAAGUACAGCAUCUUGACAACUUAAGAGAUUCAGCCGUUAA